AACGAACGCUGGCGGCGUGGAUUAGGCAUGCAAGUCGAACGAGAAAGGGUCCGCAAGGACCCGAGUAAAGUGGCGAAAGGGUGAGUAGUACCUAGGUAACCUGCCCUGAAGACGGGGAUAACGUCUCUAACGGGACGCUAAACCCGAUGUGUCGGCGCUGUGGCAUCACAGUGCCGGUAAAGGUAGCCUCUAUUUAUAAGCUUCUGCUUCAGGAGGGGCCUCGGACCUAUCAGCUAGUUGGUGCGGGUAACGGCCCACCAAGGCUGGGACGGGUAGCCGGUCUGAGAGGAUGGUCGGCCACACUGGAACUGAGACACUGUCCAGACUCCUACGGGAGGCUGCAGUCGAGGAUCUUCUGCAAUGGGCGCAAGCCUGACAGAGCGACGCCGCGUGGGGGAGGAA
rnacentral:rRNA from 1 species